UGGCGCGGCGCCGCCCGGGCAGCUUUAUCUCAGAUCGAGCUAACGAGCAGCUGAGGUGCCUAGUGCAGUGUUGGACAGGGAAAUCCCCGUGUCACGGAGCAGUGAGGGAAGUAUUCCCAGGUGGCAUGGGUGAUGCUGGCUGUUCCUUUCGAGCUUGGAUCUAACUUCCAGGUACAGAGGC